CUCUCAAGUUUUAACUAAAGAAAACCUGUCUUUAACUGCCAGCCACGUUUUGUGUUUCUUUCCUCCUUCUUUAGCUCUUACAUUUGGUAUAUUCCUCCUAGUAAAUACUUGUGCCAGUGGAACUUGCCUGAACCAAGAAUAACAGCUAUACUGGAACAUCUUAAUUGCAUGGUUGGCUACAGUUCAAACUUCCUGGUGUGUAUGAUGCAAACCAUCCCUUGGGCAAUCACGGUUUCCUGAUUAACCUGGGAAAUGAACACAGAUGACUUAACACGUUCAUGUUUCCCCUUCACUUCUGCUGUGAUUGCGAGUUUCCAGAGGCCUCGCCUGUCAAGUGGAACUACACUGAGUAGAAGCCACCCAGAAACAUAAUCCUAAAAAACAUGUGAUGGUGACUCAUAUCAGUAAAUUUUUAAUUUAAGAUAUGAUAAUGCCAAUUUUAAACCUAAAUUUGUAACAUCAUUUUGAUACAAACUGGAGGCAGGGAGAAACUGGGUAGAAGAGGGUGGCUUCCCUGGCAAGGGCUCCACCCUCAAGUCUGGACCUGAGGUUCUAAAUGAGAACAAUUACCCUUGCUUUCAGGCCCAAAUGUUACUUUGUUGGCCCACUCUGCCCCUUACCAACACUUUGCCCAUAUAAACCCCAAACCUCAGCUGGCAAAGAGACAAGCAGCUGAAUGUCAAGAGGAGAAGAAGCAUCUGAACAUCA
rnacentral:lncRNA from 13 species